UGUACYUUUUUCCGACUUGGAGGGCAGUGGACAUCGUUUUGAAUGCAACGUGGAGCUUAGGCAGGACAGCCAGCAUGAGAAAACAGAAUGUGCAGAGCUGGAAAAGAAAAAUAUAUGGAUGUUGGAAAACGACCUUUGCACUAAGGCAGAGUGAAGGGUUUUGCAAGGCUGUCCGUGCCUUGUGCGRGAUGGAUCUGCCUUGCCAUUUGCACAAUAUCGCUUCUAGCAGAACAAGAAUUCCUUAG